rnacentral:rRNA from 1 species
UACGUAGGGACCAAGCGUUGUUCGGAUUUACUGGGCGUAAAGGGCGCGUAGGCGGCAAUUCAAGUCAUCUGUGAAAUCUCCGGGCUUAACCCGGAACGGUCAGGUGAUACUGUUUUGCUAGAGUGCGGAAGGGGCAAUCGGAAUUCUCGGUGUAGCGGUGAAAUGCGUAGAUAUCGAGAGGAACACUAGUGGCGAAGGCGAGACUCUGGACAGUUCCUGACGCUGAGGCACGAAGGCCAGGGGAGCAAACGGG